AGAACGUAACACAACUUAAGAGGGUCUACCUUUCACUAAGACAAAAUGAUCUUAAUUGGCUACGUACUGGUGGAGGUUCAGGAUAUUGCGAUUACAUAGGAGACAUCCUUCUUGGUUCCAAGGACUUUGUAAUGGAAGAGUUGGCGCAGUGGCGGCAGAGGAUUUUGUUUCCCUUCUCUGUGCGUUCUGAGUUUCCCGGAUCCAGAGUAGCUUUGUCACCUUCACUGGACCCUGAAUGCUCCUUCGGAUGCUCCAGUGGUAGAACAACACAACGUGAUUUUUUAUUUGAUUUAAAAGAACCUGGAGAACUUCCUUGUUGAAGAACAAAGUG